rnacentral:piRNA from 1 species
UUGGGAAAGGGAACAAAGGGAGGGA